rnacentral:rRNA from 1 species
GACGAACGCUGGCGGCGUGCCUAAUACAUGCAAGUUGAGCGCUGAAGGUUGGUACUUGUACCAACUGGAUGAGCAGCGAACGGGUGAGUAACGCGUGGGGAAUCUGCCUUUGAGCGGGGGACAACAUUUGGAAACGAAUGCUAAUACCGCAUAAAAACUUUAAACACAAGUUUUAAGUUUGAAAGAUGCAAUUGCAUCACUCAAAGAUGAUCCCGCGUUGUAUUAGCUAGUUGGUGAGGUAAAGGCUCACCAAGGCGAUGAUACAUAGCCGACCUGAGAGGGUGAUUGGCCACAUUGGGACUGAGACACGGCCCAAACUCCUACGGGAGGCAGCAGUAGGGAAUCUUCGGCAAUGGACGAAAGUCUGACCGAGCAACGCCGCGUGAGUGAAGAAGGUUUUCGGAUCGUAAAACUCUGUUGGUAGAGAAGAACGUUGGUGAGGGUGGAAAGCUCAUCAAGUGACGGUAACUACCCAGAAAGGGACGGCUAACUACGUG